UACGUAGGGAGCAAGCGUUGUCCGGAAUCAUUGGGCGUAAAGCGCGCGUAGGCGGCCCGAUAAGUCCGCUGUGAAAGUCAACGGCUCAACUGUUGAAUGCCUGUGGAUACUGUCUGGCUAGAGUACGGAAGAGGCAAGUGGAAUUCCUGGUGUAGCGGUGGAAUGCGCAGAUAUCAGGAGGAACACCUAUAGCGAAGGCAGCUUGCUGGGACGUUACUGACGCUAAGGCGCGAAAGCGUGGGGAGCGAACAGG
rnacentral:rRNA from 1 species